AUUGAACGCUGGCGGCAGGCCUAACACAUGCAAGUCGAACGGGAGCACAGAGAGCUUGCUCUCGGGUGACGAGUGGCGGACGGGUGAGUAACGUCUGGGAAACUGCCCGAUGGAGGGGGAUAACUACUGGAAACGGUAGCUAAUACCGCAUAACGUCGCAAGACCAAAGUGGGGGACCUUCGGGCCCCACACCAUCGGAUGUGCCCAGAUGGGAUUAGCUAGUAGGUGGGGUAAUGGCUCACCUAGGCGACGAUCCCUAGCUGGUCUGAGAGGACGACCAGCGAACAUGGAAAGGAGACACGGUCCAGACUCCUACGGGAGGCAGCAGUGGGGAAUAUUGCACAAUGGGCGCAAGCCUGAUGCAGCCAUGCCGCGUGUAUGAAGAAGGCCUUCGGGUUGUAAAGUACUUUCAGCGGGGAGGAAGGCGGUGAAGUUAAUAGCUUCACCGAUUGACGUUACCCGCAGAAGAAGCACCGGCUAACUCCGUGCCAGCCGCCGCCGUAA
rnacentral:rRNA from 1 species